GCCCGGGUAGUGUAGCCUGGUUAGCAUCAGGGAUUGUGGAUCCCUUAGCCCGAGUUCAAAUCUCGGCCCGGGCC
rnacentral:tRNA from 1 species